rnacentral:rRNA from 1 species
UACGGGGGGGGCAAGCGUUGUUCGGAAUUACUGGGCGUAAAGGGCUCGUAGGCGGCCAACUAAGUCGGACGUGAAAUCCCCAGGCUCAACCUGGGAACUGCGUCCGAUACUGGAUGGCUUGAAUCCGGGAGAGGGAUGCAGAAUUCCAGGUGUAGCGGUGAAAUGCGUAGAUAUCAGGAGGAACACCGGUGGUGUAAACGGCUUUCUGGACCGUAACUGACGCUGAGGCACGAAAGCGUGGGUAGCAAACAGG